AAACUAGUGAUGUGGACAGUCCCGAUAAAGAUCUUUGAACCUCUCCCAAGCAUGAUACAUGAUCUCAUCUGGCCUCUAAUUAAAUCUCAAAAUCUCAUUGUGAAGUAU
rnacentral:snoRNA from 1 species